GCAUCAGAGGAAGGUGGUGAAAAUUAUAGUAAUGGUUCAAGUGAAAGCAAUGCAAGAGAGAAGGAAGACAAAUCCUCAACGAUAUUCCGCUCAUUAUUCCUCAAGGGCAAAGAGCAGAAAGGAAAGACAGACAGCCUGAAAAACGAAGGGAAAGGCAACACACCAGCGAAGAAGCUUGCCAAGGAAGAGAAGAUUUUCCGGGA